GCUGGGAUGGCUCAGUGGUUAAGGUGUUGGAGUCAAAAUCCAAUGGGGAUUCUUGAGCAGGUUCAAGUCCUACUCACAGUG
rnacentral:tRNA from 1 species